rnacentral:rRNA from 1 species
CCCGCCCACCACUCGAUCUUUGAAAGAUCUCGGAGCUAAGCAGAUUUGAGCCUGAAUAGUGCUUGGAUGGGAGACCACCAUAAAUACAACAGGGUGUCGGAGGCU